GUGUAGCACAUAUACUAAAAUUGGACCGAUACAGAGAAAAUUAGCAUGGACCCCAAGCAAGGAUGACAUGCAAAUCAGUCAAGCGUUCCACAUUUAC
rnacentral:snRNA from 1 species